rnacentral:rRNA from 1 species
CCUACGGGCAGCAGCAGUGAGGAAUAUUGGUCAAUGGACGAGAGUCUGAACCAGCCAAGUAGCGUGAAGGAUGACUGCCCUAUGGGUUGUAAACUUCUUUUAUAUGGGAAUAAAACGUUCCACGUGUGGGAUUUUGUAUGUACCAUAUGAAUAAGGAUCGGCUAACUCCGUGCCAGCAGCCGCGGUAAUACGGAGGAUCCGAGCGUUAUCCGGAUUUAUUGGGUUUAAAGGGAGCGUAGGUGGAUUGUUAAGUCAGUUGUGAAAGUUUGCGGCUCAACCGUAAAAUUGCAGUUGAAACUGGCAGUCUUGAGUACAGUAGAGGUGGGCGGAAUUCGUGGUGUAGCGGUGAAAUGCUUAGAUAUCACGAAGAACUCCGAUUGCGAAGGCAGUUCACUGGACUGCAACUGACACUGAGGCUCGAAAGUGUGGGUAUCAAACAGGAUUAGAUACCCCAGUAGUC